rnacentral:rRNA from 1 species
UACGGAAGGCAGCAGGGGGAAUAUUGCACAAUGGGCGCAAGCCUGAUGCAGCCAUGCCGCGUGUAUGAAAAAGGCCUUCGGGUUGUAAAGUACUUUCAGUCGUGAGGAAGGUGUUAAGGUUAAUAACCUUAGCAAUUGACGUUAGCGACAGAAGAAGCACCGGCUAACUCCGUGCCAGCAGCCGCGGUAAUACGGAGGGUGCGAGCGUUAAUCGGAAUUACUGGGCGUAAAGGGCACGCAGGCGGUUAAUUAAGUUGGAUGUGAAAUCCCCGGGCUUAACCUGGGAAUGGCAUUCAAGACUGGUUAGCUAGAGUCUUGUAGAGGGGGUAGAAUUCCAUGUGUAGCGGUGAAAUGCGUAGAGAUGUGGAGGAAUACCGGUGGCGAAGGCGGGCCCCUGGACAAAGACUGACGCUCAUGUGCGAAAGCGUGGGGAGCAAACAGGGAUUAGAUACC